rnacentral:misc_RNA from 1 species
ACUUCUGAUUCAUUUCAAUGUAAAGCAUUGAUGCUGGUGGACACAUUUGUAACGUAGCGCAUUCAACAACUGAUAAGCGAACUUUUUAUAUUUUUCGUGCAUUUCCGCGAGAAGGGAGAAACUAAUAUAUUUAUCAUAUUUAGUUGCUUUUAUCUGCAAAACCAGUGCAGAUAAAGAUAGAUCAGUUCUAUUGAUUGGUGAAAAAAAUUGACUGGAGGUGCCCUUAAGUCUCCAAUGAUUUCCUACGCUUGGGAGAGAUUGUUGUUAAAAAAAACUUAAAUAAUGUAUAGUAAACAAAGAAUUGAUAUUAGUUUUGGAAUGUUGCAUACGACAUUGAUGGGUUUUGGUAAUUGUGUUAGGAAAUUUUAAAACAAAUAAAACUUAUGACUUUUUUUCAAAUCCAUCUUAAAGCAUCGGAAAUUAAAGAAACGUUCCCAGUUCAAACACUCGACAAUUACGUAAAACAAACUUUGGCCAUAAAUCAGGUCCCUUGUUUAAUUUAUGGAGGGUGAACCAGUAACCUAUGCAUUUGAACCAAAACACCUCCAGGUUUGGACAUUGUCCUUUACAAAGGUCACAUUAUAAGAACAGGGUCAGCCACUCAAGCGACACUAUUUGGUUAUUUUGAAAACUGCAUUCAAAAGGUGGGCAGAUAGAUAUCUGAUGCAAUUUGUAGACACUUAUGCUUGACAAUCUUUACAUUUUAAAUCCCACUCAGUACAAUAACUAUUGCAGUGAAGUGCAAUAUAUGUAUUCUUGAUGUUGGACACAUGUCAGACAUCAAACACUGUGUUUUGAUCUUUGUGUUGGUUACACAAUUUUAUAUUUCAAUUAAACUGCAUAACAAUACAAUAGCAGAUAAAAUUUUAAACAUGAAAUUGUUACUUCCUGGUGCCAAAGCAGAGAUCAGUGUCAAAUGUCAACUGCUGUGCUCUGUUAAUAUAUCUGUUUGAUGUUAAUAACAUUAUUCACAAACAUUUGUAAUGUGUUUGAUAUUCCCAGCCAGAUCACCAAUAUAACAUAAAAGAAGUUUAUCUGAUAUUUAUUUUGACCAAUGGUUACACGCUCUCCCGGCUUGUUGAUUGAUCGCGGUUUCUUCCUCUUUAUAACUAUAUAAAGCAUACAUUUUCUCAAAUAUCAGACUUUUUUUUAAAAAAUGAAGUCUAUCAUACUGGUGUUAGCUCUCUGCUUGACCAUUCAAGGUAAGAUCCAAACUUGUAUCAUCUAAAUGGGAUAAUUGAAAUUUUUUUUUUCACCAGAUAGAGGCAUUUUAAAAAAAACCCCGACUUUUCAGGGUUUAACGUAUUUGAAAACUAUGUAACUUUGGUUUAAUUGGAGACAAAUACCAUUAUAUUCUAAUAUGGUUUCUUGUACAAACGCAACUUAGAUCUCAUAAAACAAUUAACAUUUAAUGUUAAAACUGGUUCAUAUUAUUUCUCUUCGUAAUCAACAGAGUGAUGUCAUAUAGUAGAAACAUUUUGUUGCAAUUAUUUUCUUCUUAUAUGUAUUUCUGGGUACUAAAACUAUUGUUAAACACAUUUUUGAGGAUGUCAAAGUAUAUCUUCGCCAUUUUCAAAAUAAACCUCUGUUUGAUGCAUCGAAA